CCCCUCACAGAUGUGAACUGUAGGGGGCGCUCUAACACAUUAUACCCCUCACAGAUGUGAACUGUAGGGGGCGCUCUAACACAUUAUACCCCUCACAUAUGUGAACUGUAGGGGGCGCUCUAACACAUUAUACCCCUCACAGAUGUGAACUGUAGGGGGCGCUCUAACACAUUAUACCCCUCACAGAUGUGAACUGUAGGGGAC